AACGAACGCUGGCGGCAUGCCUAACACAUGCAAGUCGAACGAGACCUUCGGGUCUAGUGGCGCACGGGUGCGUAACGCGUGGGAACCUGCCCUUAGGUUCGGAAUAACUCCCCGAAAGGGGUGCUAAUACCGGAUAAUGUCUUCGGACCAAAGAUUUAUCGCCUUUGGAUGGGCCCGCGUUGGAUUAGCUAGUUGGUAGGGUAAAAGCCUACCAAGGCGACGAUCCAUAGCUGGUCUGAGAGGAUGAUCAGCCACACUGGGACUGAGACACGGCCCAGACUCCUACGGGAGGCAGCAGUGGGGAAUAUUGGACAAUGGGCGAAAGCCUGAUCCAGCAAUGCCGCGUGAGUGAUGAAGUCCUUAGGGUUGUAAAGCUCUUUUACCCGGGAUGAUAAUGACAGUACCGGGAGAAUAAGCUCCGGCUAACUCCGUG
rnacentral:rRNA from 1 species